rnacentral:tRNA from 1 species
CCCUGGCUCAGUGGGAGAUCGUCUGCUUGACAUGCAGAAGUUCCCAGGCUCAAUCCCUGGUAUUUCGGGUAAGGA